UCCGGUUGAUCCUGCCGGACCCGACUGCUAUCGGGGUGAGACUAAGCCAUGCGAGUCGUGCGCCCUCGGGCACGCGAGGGCGCGGCGCACGGCUCAGUAACACGUAGCUAACCUGCCCUGAGGAGGGGGAUACCCCCGGGAAACUGGGGCUAAUCCUCCAUAGGUCUGGAUACCUGGAAUGGGUUCAGGCUCAAAUGGGUCUGCGCGCAUCCUGCGCAGGUCCGCCUCAGGAUGGGGCUGCGGCCCAUCAGGUAGUUGGCGGGGUAAAGGCCCACCAAGCCGAUAACGGGUGCGGGCUCUGGAAGGAGGAGCCCGGAGAUGGGCACUGAGACAAGGGCCCAGGUCCUACGGGGCGCAGCAGGCGCGAAACCUCCACAAUGCGGGAAACCGCGAUGGGGUUACCCCGAGUGUCGCCCGCUGAGGGCGACUUUUCUGGGGUCUAAAAAGCCCCAGGAAUAAGGGGAGGGCAAGUCUGGUGUCAGCCGCCGCGGUAAUACCAGCUCCCCGAGUGGUCGGGACGUUUAUUGGGCCCAAAGCGCCCGUAGCCGGCCCGGUGUGUCUCCCGUCAAAUCCGCCGGCUCAACCGGCGGACCGCGGGGGAUACUAUCGGGCUAGGGGGCGGGAGAGGUCGGGGGUACUCCCGGGGUAGGGGUAAAAUCCUCUGAUCCCGGGAAGACCACCGGUGGCGAAGGCGUCCGGCCAGAACGCGCCCGACGGUGAGGGGCGAAAGCUGGGGGAGCGAACCGGAUUAGAUACCCGGGUAGUCCCAGCUGUAAACGAUGCGGGCUAGGUGCUGGAGGGGCUACGGGCCCCUCCAGUGCCGCAGGGAAGCCGUUAAGCCCGCCGCCUGGGGAGUACGGCCGCAAGGCUGAAACUUAAAGGAAUUGGCGGGGGGGCACACAAGGGGUGAAGCCUGCGGUUCAAUUGGAGUCAACGCCGGG
rnacentral:rRNA from 1 species